rnacentral:rRNA from 1 species
AUGAACGCUGGCGGCGUGCCUAAUACCUGCAAGUCGAGCGAACAGACGAGGAGCUUGCUCCUCUGACGUUAGCGGCGGACGGGUGAGUAACACGUGGAUAACCUACCUAUAAGACUGGGAUAACUUCGGGAAACCGGAGCUAAUACCGGAUAAUAUAUUGAACCGCAUGGUUCAAUAGUGAAAGACGGUUUUGCUGUCACUUAUAGAUGGACCCGCGCCGCAUUAGCUAGUUGGUAAGGUAACGGCUUACCAAGGCAACGAUGCGUAGCCGACCUGAGAGGGUGAUCGGCCACACUGGAACUGAGACACGGUCCAGACUCCUACGGGAGGCAGCAGUAGGGAAUCUUCCGCAAUGGGCGAAAGCCUGACGGAGCAACGCCGCGUGAGUGAUGAAGGUCUUCGGAUCGUAAAACUCUGUUAUUAGGGAAGAACAAAUGUGUAAGUAACUAUGCACGUCUUGACGGUACCUAAUCAGAAAGCCACGGCUAACUACGU